CCUUCCUCCCUCAUCCUUCUCUCCUGUUUCUCUCUCCCCAUCUCUAUCGUCCGUUUCCUCCAGCAGUCUCAUCAGCGACACCCUCAUCGGCGUCCCCGGUGCGGUUCCUCCAGUUACGUUGCUGGGCAUGGUAUUGGGCCCCAAUGGGCUCAAACCCCCACCCACACUGCCGUCAGAAUCUUGGGCCGCCCGGUAGUGGCGUUCGGCGGCCAACGCCGCCGCCAGGUUCAUCCCCGCCGUAGACUCAACCACGCAAUCCUGAUCGGAAAAGUUCACCGGCGGCGUCUGACCCACGUAUAUUAGCUCUAAUUGUUGGUGUGGGCCCUCUUCAU
rnacentral:lncRNA from 1 species